GAAGCAUCUAUGAUAUGUGCGGUGGCCCUAAGGUGCAAAACACAACUGCAAAUCAGAAAACAACAUAAAAAGAGAAAACACAACGGCAAAUCAGAAAACACAACACAAAAAGUGAAAACACCAUGGUUAAUGUCGGUCUGUUUUCUCUUGUUGCGAUGUGUUUUCUGAUUUGUUUUUGUGUUCUGCACCUCAGGGCCACCGUAGAUAUUUGAUCUGUUA